GGAUUAGAUACCCUGGUAGUCCACGCCCUAAACGUUGAAUACUCGUUGUUAGCGAUAUACUGUUAGCGACUAAGCGAAAGCAUUAAGUAUUCCACCUGGGGAGUACGACCGCAAGGUUGAAACUCAAAGGAAUUGACGGGGGCCCGCACAAGCGGAGGAGUAUGUGGUUUAAUUCGAUGAUACGCGAGGAACCUUACCUGGGCUUGAAAGUUAGUGACCGAUGCCGAAAGGUGUCUUCUCUUCGGAGCACAAAACUAGGUGCUGCAUGGCUGUCGUCAGCUCGUGCUG
rnacentral:rRNA from 1 species